GAGUCUAUGAUGUCUCUGAUUUGGGAAUUCACACUUUAUGCCCUGUGGCCUAUCGCCCGGGGUAUAACCCACAUUUUGUGCACUGACAUCUGUCCCUGGCGGGCGGGCAGCGCAAGCUGCUUGUCAACCAUGAUUCUUCAUGGGUGUGGACAACCCGUCAACCACUUCUUUACUUAUGUUUUUCUUACAUUGUCUGACAUUAUUUGUACAAAAACACAAAACAACUUUCGGCAACGGAUCUCUUGGCUCUCGCAACGAUGAAGAACGCAACGAAAUGCGAUAAGUAGUGUGAAUUGCAGAAUUCAGUGAAUCAUCGAAUCUUUGAACGCACAUUGCGCUUCGUGGUAUUCCGCGGAGCAUGCUCGUUUCAUAAUCAUUAAAAGACUCACAGCCUGUGGAAUGUUGUCGGGUUUUUACUCCUUGUGGGUAUAACCUGCGGCAUUACCACCGGCCUGUAGGAUAUGGGCACUUUGGAUAUCAUAACCAAUUGCCUUAAAGUUAGUGAGUGCGUGACUUUUUGUUAAUUUGCCGACCCUCAGUGCAACAGCUUUAGAUUCACUCCUGGGCACAAAUUGGGAGUCACCACCUGUAAAGAACACAGAGCUGUUGAGCAGUAAUGCUCUCCAGCUCUGACAACUUGGUCUGAAAUCGAGCAAGAAAACCCGCUGAACUUAAGCAUAUCAAUAAGCGGAGGAAAAGAAACUAACAAGGAUUCCCCUAGUAACGGCGAGUGAAGCGGGAAUAGCUCAAAUUUGAAAUCUCAUAGUUUUACUGUGCGAAUUGUAGUUUAAAGAAACGUUUUCGGGGGUGGCUUGGGUAUAAGUCCUUUGGAAAGAGGCAUCGUAGAGGGUGAGAAUCCCGUUUAUGACCCAAUGUCUGCUCCUAUGUGAUGCGUUUUCUAAGAGUCAGGUAGUUUGGGAUUGCUGCCUAAAAUGGGUGGUAAAUACCAUCUAAAGCUAAAUAUUGGCGAGAGACCGAUAGCGAACAAGUACCGUGAGGGAAAGAUGAAAAGAACUUUGAAAAGAGAGUUAAACAGUACGUGAAAUUGCCAAAAGGGAAACGCUUGGAACCAGUAUUGUCUCCAGGUAAUCAAGCACACGUUCCGCAAGGGUCACGUGUGGUGCACUUGCCUGUGGACAGGCCAACAUCAGUUUGGUUUGGGGUAAAAAGCCGGAGAAAGGUAGCUUGGACUUGUCUGAGUGUUAUAGUCUCCGGUCAUGCCUUGGACUGGACUGAGGUCUGCAGCGUUAUUUGGAUACCCGAUUGCCUCUUGAACCAUCUUCUUUAGACAGCAUGCUGACUUUAGGAAUGUCUAGGGAGCCCAGUCGGU
rnacentral:rRNA from 1 species